AUCCUGGGGCUGAAGUCGGUCCCAAGGGUUUGGCUGUUCGCCAAUUAAAGCGGUACGCGAGCUGGGUUUAGAACGUCGUGAGACAGUUCGGUCCCUAUCUGUCGCGGGCGAAGGAUACUUGAGAGGAGCUAUCGGUAGUACGAGAGGACCCCGAUGGACGCACCUCUGGUGCACCGGUUGUCGCGCCAGCGGCAUAGCCGGGUAGCCACGUGCGGAAAGGAUAACCGCUGAAAGCAUCUAAGCGGGAAGCCUCCCUCGAGAUUAGGUAUCCCGUUCCUGUCUUCGGGCAGGACCUCAAGGGCCCUUCUAGACCAGGAGGUUGAUAGGCCGGAGGUGGAAGCGCAGCAAUGCGUGUAGCUGACCGGUACUAAUUGCCCGUGUGGCUUGACCAUAC
rnacentral:rRNA from 1 species